GACGAACGCUGGCGGCGUGCUUAACACAUGCAAGUCGAGCGGAAAGGCCCUUCGGGGUACUCGAGCGGCGAACGGGUGAGUAACACGUGAGUAACCUGCCACAGACUUUGGGAUAACCCUCGGAAACGGGGGCUAAUACCGGAUACGACCCAGAUUCGCAUGGGGUUUGUGUGGAAAGUUUUUCGGUGUUGGAUGGGCUCGCGGCCUAUCAGCUUGUUGGUGGGGUGAUGGCCUAGCAAGGCGACGACGGGUAGCCAGCCUGAGAGGGCGACCGGCCACACUGGAUGUGUGACACGCCCCGGGCUCCUACGGGGGGCAGCAGUGGGGAAUAGUGCACAAUGGGCGGAAGCCUGAUGCAGCGACGCUGCGUGAGGGAUGACGGCCUUCUAGUUGUAAACCUCUAUCAGCAGGGACGAAGCGUAAGUGACGGUACCUGAAGAAAAGGCGCCGGCCAACUACGUG
rnacentral:rRNA from 1 species